rnacentral:rRNA from 1 species
AUUGAACGCUGGCGGCAGGCCUAACACAUGCAAGUCGAACGAGUGGCGGACGGGUGAGUAAUGUCUGGGAAACUGCCUGAUGGAGGGGGAUAACUACUGGAAACGGUAGCUAAUACCGCAUACCAUCGGAUGUGCCCAGAUGGGAUUAGCUAGUAGGUGGGGUAAAGGCUCACCUAGGCGACGAUCCCUAGCGGGUCUGAGAGGAUGACCAGCAAAACUGGAACUGAGACACGGUCCAGACUCCGAGGGGGGGCAGCAGGGGGGAAUAUGGCACUAGGGGCGAAAGCCGGAUGCAGCCAUGCCGCGUGGAGGAAGAAGGCCUUCGGGUUGUAAGGUACUUUCAGCGGGGAGGCGUUACCCGCAGAAGAAGCACCGGCUAACUCCGUGCCAGCGGCCGCGGUAAAC